rnacentral:rRNA from 1 species
AGUAGAUAGCAGCAUUUGUAAAACCUUUUCUGGAUUUAGAAGCUAAGUGGCUUGGGUUUGAUUAGUACUAGGAUGGGAGACCACCAGUGAAUACUCACCCUAUCUGCUA